rnacentral:misc_RNA from 1 species
GGAUAAUGUUGAUAUUUUUAAAAAUUAUUAGAAUAAUAUAGUUUUUUACUUGGUCAAAAAGUAGUUUUAAGAUAAGUAGAUAAGUAAUAAGUAAGGAGUGCUUUACUUAUGACUUCUGACUUUUAACUUGUUUUAAGUAGGUUUUUUAACUUAUAAGUCAAAUCAAACAUUAAUCUACUUAUUACUUUCUACUUAUAAGUAGGUUUGCCAAAUCAAACACCCUCUAAAUAUAUUGUAUAGGAAGAGUGGUAAAACUAAUUUAGUCCUAGUUUUUUAGUGCCUUUGUGAACUUCCAGAGUCCUAUGAGGCAUACAAGAAACAGCAGCACCGCUGGCAUUCAGGUCCAAUGCAGUUGUUCCGCUUGUGCUUCCUUGA